rnacentral:rRNA from 1 species
GAUGAACGCUGGCGGCGUGCCUAAUACAUGCAAGUCGAGCGAACAGACGAGGAGCUUGCUCCUCUGACGUUAGCGGCGGACGGGUGAGUAACACGUGGAUAACCUACCUAUAAGACUGGGAUAACUUCGGGAAACCGGAGCUAAUACCGGAUAACAUGUUGAACCGCAUGGUUCAACAGUGAAAGACGGUUUUGCUGUCACUUAUAGAUGGAUCCGCGCCGCAUUAGCUAGUUGGUAAGGUAACGGCUUACCAAGGCAACGAUGCGUAGCCGACCUGAGAGGGUGAUCGGCCACACUGGAACUGAGACACGGUCCAGACUCCUACGGGAGGCAGCAGUAGGGAAUCUUCCGCAAUGGGCGAAAGCCUGACGGAGCAACGCCGCGUGAGUGAAGAAGGUCUUCGGAUCGUAAAACGCUGUUAUUAGGGAAGAACAAAUGUGUAAGUAACUAUGCACGUCUUGACGGUACCUAGUCAGAAAGCCACGGCUAAAUACGUG